rnacentral:lncRNA from 1 species
UGGUGUGUCUGAAGACAGCUACAGUGUACUUACAUAUAAUAAAUAAAAUAAAAUCUUAAAAAAAAAGAAAAGAAAAGAAAGAGGAAUGCUAAUUUAAAGAUAAAUGUUAAGGGGCUGGUGAGAUAGCGUAGCAAAGUAAAACAUUUCUCCGCAAGCCCGACGACUCGGGUUCGAGCCCUGGGACCCACAUAGUUGGAAGAGAAGUGGCUCCUUCCUGCAAGCUGUCCUUGGACCUCCGCACUCAGGCUGUGGUACUGGCAACCUCCCCACAAAGUCAUG